UACGAAGGGUGCAAACGUUGCUCGGAAUUAUUGGGCGUAAAGCGCACGUAGGCGGCUUUGCAAGUCGGAUGUGAAAUCCCUCGGCUUAACCAAGGAAGUGCAUCCGAAACUGCAGAGCUUGAGUACUUAAGAGGAUCGCGGAAUUCCCGGUGUAGCGGUGAAAUGCGCAGAUAUCGGGAAGAACACCCGUGGCGAAGGCGGCUCUCUGGGACGGUACUGACGCUGAGACGCGAAAGCGUGGGGAGCGAACGAGG
rnacentral:rRNA from 1 species